rnacentral:rRNA from 1 species
GAUGAACGCUGGCGGCGUGCCUAAUACAUGCAAGUCGAGCGAACAGACGAGGAGCUUGCUCCUCUGACGUUAGCGGCGGACGGGUGAGUAACACGUGGAUAACCUACCUAUAAGACUGGGAUAACUUCGGGAAACCGGAGCUCAUACCGGAUAAUAUAUUGAACCGCAUGGUUCAAUAGUGAAAGACGGUUUUGCUGUCACUUAUAGAUGGAUCCGCGCCGCAUUAGCUAGUUGGUAAGGUAACGGCUUACCAAGGCAACGAUGCGUAGCCGACCUGAGAGGGUGAUCGGCCACACUGGAACUGAGACACGGUCCAGACUCCUACGGGAGGCAGCAGUAGGGAAGCUUCCGCAAUGGGCGAAAGCCUGACGGAGCAACGCCGCGUGAGUGAUGAAGGUCUUCGGAUCGUAAAACUCUGUUAUUAGGGAAGAACAAAUGUGUAAGUAACUAUGCACGUCUUGACGGUACCUAAUCAGAAAGCCACGGCUAACUACGUG